rnacentral:rRNA from 1 species
GCAGUAGUCAUAUGCUUGUCUCAAAGCUUAAGCCAUGCAAGUCUCAGUACAGACUAUAUUAAAGUGAAACCGCAAAAGGCUCAGUAAACCAGUUUUAAUUUACUAGAGUUAACUUGACUGUGCUUGGAUAACUGUGGUAAUUCUAGAGCUAAUACAUGCAACAAAGCCGUGACCAUUCGUGGUCAGGGCGCUUUUAUUAGACCAAGACCAAUCGCCCGGCCAGUCCGGGCGUUAAGUUGAGGAACCUAGAUAACACAGCAGAUCGCAUGGUCUUAGUACCGGCGACCUAUCUUUCAAAUGCCUGACUUAUCAACUGACGAUGGUAGACUCUGUGUCUACCAUGGCUGUUACGGGUAACGGGGAAUCAGGGUUCGAUUCCGGAGAGGGAGCCUGAGAAACGGCUACCACAUCCAAGGAAGGCAGCAGGCACGCAAAUUACCCACUCCCGGAACGGGGAGGUAGUGACAAAAAAUAACGAUACGGGACUCGAUAUGAGGCCUCGUAAUCGGAAUGAGUACACUCUAAAUCCUUUAACAAAAAUCUAUUGGAGGGCAAGUCUGGUGCCAGCAGCCGCGGUAAUUCCAGCUCCAAUAGCGUAUAUUAAAGUUGUUGCGGUUAAAAAGCUCGUAGUUGGUUCUGCGUCCCGCGCUGUCGGUACACCGUUUGUCGGUGACACUGGCAUGACGCGGGAUGUCCUGUCGGUGGCGGCGGAGACCAUAUCGCCGUCGGCUAACACCGCGGCGUGUUGGCCUUCUGUCGCCGGCUUUAUCCUACCGCGGUGCUCUUCACUGAGUGUCGAGGUAGGCCGACACGUUUACUUUGAACAAAUUAGAGUGCUUAAAGCAGGCAAAAAUCUCUGCCAGAAUAGUGGUGCAUGGAAUAAUGGAACAGGACCUUGGUUCUAUUCUGUUGGUCUCCGGAACACAAGGUAAUGAUCAAUGUGGACAGGCGGGGGCAUUCGUAUUGCGGCGUUAGAGGUGAAAUUCUUGGAUCGUCGCAAGACGCACUAGAGCGAAAGCAAUUGCCAAGUAUGUCUUAAUUGAUCAAGAACGAAAGUUAGAGGUUCGAAGGCGAUCAAA